GCAUUGGGUGAGAAUAAAAAUCUUAAUUUUUAUUCGUAUUUUGGCGAUAAUACCAACAAAAAGUCGUUUACCAGAGAAAGUGGUAUAUUGUUACUGAAACAACCAAACAAAAUUCGAAUCAAAAUUGACACAGUUGGAAACGUUGAAGUUAUCAUAAACAACGUAGAUUCAUUCCGGCACAAAAUAACCGAUGGAAAGAGAGUUCCGAAAUACAUAUCUUUUGGAGGCUGGGACCAAAGGAACGAUAUUUUCUUAAAUUGUCACGUGUGAUUUCCAGUUUUAGACAGAUUUUUAAGAAAAAUACAUUCAGACGAUUCAAUAAAAAAUAUCGGAAAAAUCUCGAUUUAAUGUUGGUUAAAAUAUUUAAGGUUUUUCGUAAAACAAUUGAUGUAUUUUACGUUAUUUUCAAAUUGGAAUUAUAUUUGGUGACUUGAAUUAUUCAUUGUAAAGGCAACACCAAAUCGAUUUGCUUUAAAGAAAAUUUCGGAUGUAUCUUAUAGGAGUCAGUUGUUGCAGAAAUGUUUAGAUACGCUCCCAACAAUGUAGGUACCACAGCGACCGUAUCAAAAAUAGCUAACAAUUACUUACAAUUUUGUGUUCAUUAUUUCAAUCGCUUUUUUCCUGCUCUAAGCAAAAUAUUGACAUGCUUUCUCAUAAAUUAUUUUAUUUAAUAUUUUUUUUGUUUUCUAUUUUUACUGAUCUUGAUCAUUCUUCGAUUAAUAAAAACGGCAGAAAAAAAAUGUUUCAAAUAACAUUCAAACUAAAAGCUGCUGAAUAAGUCGUGGACUCAACGCCAACUUCAUAACGAUUGACUGCGAUGAAUACGUACUGUCACUAGCGUAUGUGUAUUGUGUAUAUCAAAAUACAUAUGUUUCCAUUGUGUGACAGUGUUUGUCAAAUCAGUCUCGCUUAUAGUAAAAUUUCAUUACAUGUCAUUGUUAUUAACUCAUUGUUAUGAUUAAACACUACGCCUAAUAUUGAUAGUAAAUUGGAAGAAUUGAAAUAUUUCUCUUGAUUGUGAAAGUGGUUU